rnacentral:rRNA from 1 species
CCUACGGGAGGCAGCAGUAGGGAAUUUUCGUCAAUGGGCGCAAGCCUGAACGAGCGAUGCCGCGUGAGUGAAGAAGGCCUUCGGGUCGUAAAGCUCUGUUGCGGGGGAAAAAAGGCAGCAUCAGGAAAUGGGUGCUGACUGAUGGUGCCCCGCCAGAAAGUCACGGCUAACUACGUGCCAGCAGCCGCGGUAAUACGUAGGUGGCGAGCGUUAUCCGGAAUGAUUGGGCGUAAAGGGUGCGCAGGCGGUCCUGCAAGUCUGGAGUGAAACGCAUGAGCUCAACUCAUGCGUGGCUUUGGAAACUGGAGGACUGGAGAGCAGGAGAGGGCGGUGGAACUCCAUGUGUAGCGGUGAAAUGCGUAGAUAUAUGGAAGAACACCAGUGGCGAAGGCGGCCGCCUGGCCUGUUGCUGACGCUGAGGCACGAAAGCGUGGGGAGCAAAUAGGAUUAGAUACCCUUGUAGUC